UGGGGAAUUUUGGACAAUGGGGGAAACCCUGAUCCAGCCAUUCCGCGUGAGUGAAGAAGGCCUUCGGUUGUAAAGCUCUUUCAGCAGGAACGAAACGGUGCGCUCUAACAUAGCGUGCUAAUGACGGUACCUGCAGAAGAAGCACCGGCUAACUACGUGCCAGCAGCCGCGGUAAUACGUAGGGUGCGAGCGUUAAUCGGAAUUACUGGGCGUAAAGCGUGCGCAGGCGGAUUGUUAAGCAAGAUGUGAAAUCCCCGGGCUUAACCUGGGAAUGGCAUUUUUGAACUGGCAGUCUAGAGUGUGUCAGAGGGGGGUGGAAUUCCACGUGUAGCAGUGAAAUGCGUAGAUAUGUGGAGGAACACCAAUGGCGAAGGCAGCCCCCCUGGGAUAACACUGACGCUCAUGUACGAAAGCGUGGGUAGCAAACAGGAUUAGAUACCCUGGUAAUCCACGCCCUAAACGAUGUCAACUGGUUGUUGGGGGAGUGAAAUCCCUUAGACGAAG
rnacentral:rRNA from 1 species